UACAGUGGUGCCCCGCAAGACGAACGCCUCGCAAGACGAAAAACUCGCAAGACGAAAGGUUUUUUCGUUUUCGAGUUGCUUCGCAAGACGAAUGUCCCUAUGGGCUUGCUUCGCAAGACGAAAACGUCUUGCAAGUUUGUUUCCUUUUUCGUAAAACCGUUAAAACCCAGGGUGCAUUGCUGGAAGAGGUGCAGUUGCGACUUGACCUCGAGGAGCAACACAUUGCACGCGGUGUGGUGGCCUUUCUGAGCUUUUUAAAGAGUUUGCUGGAUUUUUGAAGCUUUUCCAAAACUUCUUCUGCAGCUGUUUGGUAAGUUAAACUUUUAAAACUUUUUUUGGGUUUUUUGGAUUUUGGGUUGGGGUGUUUAGAAUUCAAGGACUUGGUGUUGGGGAGAGGUUUGCAAGAAUCUGGGAGCUUGUGUGGUUUUUUUCUGCAUUUUUAUGAUUUUCAUGACCAUUGGGCCAUGUUUAUUUUUUUUUUAAAAAAAAUCUGGCUUUGAAUUUUUGAAUUUCUGUGUGCUGGGUGGAUGGGGGACAGCUGGGGAGGGGUUUGCAAGAAUCUGGGAGCUUGGGUGGUUUUUUUUGAAUUUUUAUGAUUUUUGUGACCAUUGGGCCCUGUUGGUUUUUUUUGAAAAAAAUUUUCUGGGUUUUAAAUUUCUGUGUGCUGGGUGGAUGGGGAACAGCUGGGGAGGUGUUUGCAAGAAUCUGGGAGCUUGUGUGUUUUUUUUUGAAUUUUUAUGAUUUUUGUGACCAUUGGGCCAUGUUGUUUUUUUCAAAAAAUUUCUGGGUUUUAAAUUUCUGUGUGCUGGGUGGAUGGGGGAACAGCUGGGGAGGUGUUUGCAAGAAUCUGGGAGCUUGUGUGGUUUUUUUUGAAUUUUUAUGAUUUUUUGUGACCAUUGGGCCAUGUUGUUGUUUUUUGAAAAAAAUUUCUGGGUUUUAAAUUUCUGUGUGCUGGGUGGAUGGGGAACAGCUGGGGAGGUGUUUGCAAGAAUCUGGGAGCUUGUGUGGUUUUUUUGAAUUUUUAUGAUUUUUGUGACCAUUGGGCCAUGUUGUUUUUUUUGAAAAAAUUUCUGGGUUUUAAAUUUCUGUGUGCUGGGUGGAUGGGGAACAGCUGGGGAGGUGUUUGCAAGAAUCUGGGAGCUUGUGUGGUUUUUUUGAAUUUUUAUGAUUUUUUGUGACCAUUGGGCCAUGUUGGUUUUUUUUGAAAAAAUUUCUGGGUUUUAAAUUUCUGUGUGCUGGGUGGAUGGGGGAACAGCUGGGGAGGUGUUUGCAAGAAUCUGGGAGCUUGUGUGGUUUUUUUUGGAAUUUUUAUGGUUUUCUGUAACCAUUGGGCCAUGUUGUUGUUUUUUUGAAAAAAUUUCUGGGUUUUAAAUUUCUGUGUGCUGGGUGGCUGGGGGAACAGUUGAGGAGGGGUUUGCAGGAAUCUGGGAGCUUGUGUGCUUUUUUUUUGAAUUUUUAUGGUUUUCUGUAACCAUUGGGCCAUGUUGUUUUUUUUUGAAAAAAUUUUCUGGGUUUUAAAUUUCUGUGUGCUGGGUGGCUGGGGGAACAGUUGAGGAGGGGUUUGCAGGAAUCUGGGAGCUUGUGUGCUUUUUUUGAAUUUUUAUGGUUUUCUGUAACCAUUGGGCCAUGUUGUUUUUUUUGAAAAAUUUUCUGGGUUUUGAAUUUCUGUGUGCUGGGUGGCUGGGGGAACAGUUGAGGAGGGGUUUGCAGGAAUCUGGGAGCUUGUGUGCUUUUUUUUGAAUUUUUAUGGUUUUCUGUAACCAUUGGGCCAUGUUGUUUUUUUUUGAAAAAUUUUCUGGGUUUUGAAUUUCUGUGUGCUGGGUGGCUGGGGGAACAGUUGAGGAGGGGUUUGCAGGAAUCUGGGAGCUUGUGUGCUUUUUUUUGAAUUUUUAUGGUUUUCUGUAACCAUUGGGCCAUGUUGUGUUUUUUUUGAAAAAUUUUCUGGGUUUUGAAUUUCUGUGUGCUGGGUGGCUGGGGAACAGUCGAGGAGGGGUUUGCAACAGUUGGGGAGGGGUUUGCAACAGUUGGGGAGGGGCUGGGGAACAGUUGAGGUUUUUGAAGACUUUGGUGAUUUUUAAAGCUUUCCCAAAACUUCUUUUGCAGCCAUUUGAGGAUUUUGAAGACUUUGGUGAUUUGCAGCCAUUUCGUAAGUUAAACUUUUAAAACUUUUUUUGGGGUUUUGGAUUUUGGGUUGGGUGUUUGGAAUUCAAGGACUUGGUUG
rnacentral:lncRNA from 1 species